rnacentral:rRNA from 1 species
CCUACGGGAGGCAGCAGUGAGGAAUAUUGGUCAAUGGCCGAGAGGCUGAACCAGCCAAGUCGCGUGAGGGACGAAGGCCCUAAGGGUUGUAAACCUCUUUUGUCGGGGAGCAAAGAGAGUCACGUGAGACUGAUUGAGAGUACCCGAAGAAAAAGCAUCGGCUAACUCCGUGCCAGCAGCCGCGGUAAUACGGAGGAUGCGAGCGUUAUCCGGAUUUAUUGGGUUUAAAGGGUGCGCAGGCGGAGGUGGAAGUCAGCGGUCAAAUUGCGGGGCUCAACCCCGGACUGCCGUUGAAACUGGAUGCCUUGAGAGGGCGAGAGGUAUGCGGAAUGCGGGGUGUAGCGGUGAAAUGCAUAGAUAUCACGCAGAACUCCGAUUGCGAAGGCAGCAUACCGGCGGGGAACUGACGCUGAGGCACGAAAGCGUGGGUAUCGAACAGGAUUAGAUACCCUAGUAGUC